GGAUUGACAGGUUGAUAGCUCUUUCUUAAUUCUAUUGAUGGUGGUGCAUGGUCGUUCUUAGUUGGUGGAGUGAUUUUUCUGGUUAAUUCCGUUAACGAACCAGACCUUAACCUGCUAAAUAGGGUGAAAAGCUUUUGUUUUAAAAUUACUUCUUAGAAGGACUUUUCGUGUCUAACGCGAAGAAGUUUGAGGCAAUAACAGGUCUGUGAUGCCCUUAGAUGUUCUGGGCUGCACGCGCGCUACAAUGAUGCAUCCAACAAGUUUAUAACCUUGGCUGGUAAGCUUGGGUAAUCUUUUGAAUAUGCAUCGUGAUGGGAAUAGAUUAUUGUAAUUAUUAAUCUUUAACGAGGAAUGCCUAGUAAGCGCGA
rnacentral:rRNA from 1 species